rnacentral:rRNA from 1 species
UUCGCGGCGGGCCGUCCACGCGCCAGAUCAGAGACCGCGCGUGCGUUCUUGCUCCAACUCGGUCUGAGGCUCCUCCAGGGUCUUGGCCCUCGGGCGGACAGGUUGGGGCGCUCUCCCCGCGUGGGGCGCCCGACCCGCCGGGGCCACGUGCCGCGGCGCACGCCGGCGUGCGCGGGGAGAAUGGGCCCCGUGCCAGGUGAAGGACGGCUCGUGCGUUCCGGCUCAGCCUCGGUCUGGCGCUUCUACAGGGUCAGGGGGUGCCGCCGAACGGGUUCGCGCGCGCCCGGUACGUGGCCCGGCAGAGCCGGCCGACCAGCCAGCGCCGUGCGCCGCGGCGCGCGGCGGCGCGCGGUCCGGUGCGCGCGGCGGCGCACGCGGGCGCGCCAAAAAAGUGGCCUGGUCCUGGGUCGUUUUAUGUCCACGCGUUGCAUUUGUGGGGAUCCGGCUCUGGGUAGGUGUGGGAACGAUAAAAACCGUCGGCCUCCGCCGGCGCGCACGGCGUCCUGUUGCCUUCGGAGCCCCCGCCGGGCGCUGUGGCGGGCGGCACGUGCCUUGGGGUCGCCCGCUGGCCCCCGCAAGCGUGCGCACGUGCGGCGCGUGCGGCACAGCCGUUCCGCGCCGCGCCGUGCGCCGCGGCGCGCGCAGGCGCGCGCGCGGUGAAUGGGUCCCGUGCCAGGUGAAGGACGGCUCGUGCGUUCUGGCUCCGCCUCGGUCUGGCGCUUCCACAGGGUCAGGGGGUGCCGCCGAACAGGUUCGCACGCGCCCGGCACGUGGCCCGGCAGAGCCGGCCGACCAGCCAGCGCCGUGCGCCGCGGCGCGCGGCGGCGCGCGGUCCGGUGCGCGCGGCGGCGCACGCGGGCGCGCCAAAAAAGUGGCCUGGUCCUGGGUCGUUUUAUGUCCACGCGUUGCAUUUGUGGGGAUCCGGCUCUGGGUAGGUGUGGGAACGAUAAAAACCGUCGGCCUCCGCCGGCGCGCACGGCGUCCUGUUGCCUUCGGAGCCCCCGCCGGGCGCUGUGGCGGGCGGCACGUGCCUUCAGGGGUCGCCCGGUGGCCCCCGUCGGCGUGCGCACGUGCGCACGUGCGCCACAGCCGUGCCGCGCCGCGCCGUGCGCCGCGGCACGCGCCGGCGCGCGCGCGGCUGCCGAUCCGGCGCGCGCGGCGGCGCACGCGGGCGCGCCAAAAAAGUGGCCUGGUCCUGGGUCGUUUUAUGUCCACGCGUUGCAUUUGUGGGGAUCCGGCUCUGGGUAGGUGUGGGAACGAGAAAAACCGUCGGCCCCCGCCGGGGCGCCCGGCGUCCUGUUGCCUUCGCGAGCCCCCGCCGGGCGCUGUGGCGGGCGGCACGUGCCUUGGGGGUCGCCCGGUGGCCCCGUCGGCGUGCGCACGUGCGCACGUGCGCACGUGCGCCACAGCCGUGCCGCGCCGCGCCGUGCGCCGCGCGCGGCUGCCGAUCCGGCGCGCGCGGCGGCGCUCGCGGGCGCGCCAAAAAAGUGGCCUGGUCCUGGGUCGUUUUAUGUCCACGCGUUGCAUUUGUGGGGAUCCGGCUCUGGGUAGGUGUGGGAGCGAUAGAACCGUCGGCCUCCGCCGGCGCGCCCGGCGUCCUGUUGCCUUCGCGAGCCCCCGCCGGGCGCUGUGGCGGGCGGCACGUGCCUGUAGGGUCGCCCGGUGGCCCCCGUCGGCGCUCGCACGUGCGCACGUGCACACGUGCGCCGCGGCACGCGCCGGCGCGCUUGGCGGCCGAUCCGGUGCGCGCGACGGCGCACGCGGGCGUGUCCAAAAAGUGGCCUGGUCCUGGGUCGUUUUAUGUCCACGCGUUGCUUUUCUGGGGAUCCAGCUCUGGGUACUUGUGGAGAACCGGGAGACCCUCGAGAUGGUCGUAGUUUCGCGCACGGCGUCCCGCCGCGUCCCUGGCCGUCCGCUGACCCCCCGUCCGACGUCGACGGGCCCCUCGGGGCCUCCGACGCACGGACGCGCGCGGGCGCGGCGCCGGGUCGCCUCGGGCACGUGACGGCGCGUGAGUAGUGGUCUGCGCGUUGCGCCUGCGGCCUCCCCUGCCCGAGUGCAGCCGACCGCGGGCGCGGGUCGCGUCUCGUUCGUCCCCCGGAUGCCCGGAGGGCUCGCCCCCCUCGUGGUCUGUACCGCCUAGCCGGAAUGCGGCAACCUCGGAACCCCGACGACUCGGCGCCGGCUCUCCCCCUCCCCCAGCGGGCGGGCGAGAGGCGGCCGGUCGCGGCCCCCCGUGCGUCCCCCGACUCGCCCCGCGCGUGU